CCCUGGUGUAAAGGAAGGUAUACCUGGUCUAUCUAAUGCACAAAUAGUAUUUUAGAGCCUUUCUAGAUCUGUUUAGAUCUAGGAUUUAUGCAAGCUAUUUUCCUAGCGUGCAGGUUAUAGCCUAGUCUGCAACAUAUAAAAGAGCUAGAAGACUAUAAAAGUGAGAUGGGUGGCAGUGGUGACAGGGAAUCAAAUUGUCAGGUAUCGUGAACCUUAAGUGCCAAACAACUUAUUGUCUUGGUUGGUGGGUUAUGGAUUUUGUAGAAUAGGUUAACAGUAUACUGUGAGGACUAGGAAUAGUCAUUCUAAGGACU